rnacentral:rRNA from 1 species
AUCGAACGCUGGCGGCAUGCUUUACACAUGCAAGUCGAACGGUAACAGGCUGCAAGGUGCUGAUGAGUGGCGAACGGGUGGGUAAUGCAUAGGAAAGUGCCCUGCCGUGGGGGUUAACUACUCGAAAGAGUAGCUAAUAUAGAAUAUGAUCUAUGGAUGAAAGCGGGGGAGUGUAAGGCCAAGUGUGGUCGGAGCGGGCGAUGUUCGAGUCGGUAGUUUGUGGGGUUAAGGCUCACCAUGCCAACGAUCUGUAGCUGGUGCGAGAGAACGACGGGCCACACUGGGACUGAAACACGGCCCAUGCUCCUACGGUACGCAGCAGUCUGGAAUUUUGGACAGUGGGCGCGAACCUGAUCCAACAGUGCCACGUGCAGGAAGAAGGCCUUCGGGUUGUAAACUGCUUUUGUACGGAACGAAACGGCUCUGGUUAAUACCCAGGGCUAAUGACGGUACCGUAAAAAUAAGCACCGGCUAACUACGUG